UACCAUGGGCUGCAUGUUCAUCCUUUGAGAGUUUUGUUAGUGAUUGUUUGGCUGUUUAGUUGACUGGUUAUCUUGAUUUGAUUUUUUGGUUCUGUUUCAGAUGUGAUUGUGUUGUAUAAAUAGUAGUGGCCUAAAACUCAAUAUGUAGCCCAAGUCGGAUUCAAGCACACUGUUCUUCCACAUCAUGUAUCAUCAUCCUUGGUUCUGUGUAUACAGAUAUACAUUAUUGGAUCAGUUUCCACUGUGUGUGAGAGAGAGGGUGUAUGAUGACUGGAAUAUUGCUUGUCUGAACCAAACCUCAAGAUCAACCAAGCAUGGCAACACAUUCUUGUAAUCCCAAGAAGCAUGGGCAGGAGAAUCCUCAAAAGAGGGCAGACCUCAGCAACAGGGCUAGCUGGCUUACUCUGAUUGGUGGAACACAGGACAAAGGAUCUCUUCAGGCAUUGAACCUUGUUCUUACAGCCUUGUUCCUCGUAUCUAUGAAACUUAUUUCUUCACAAUGACUUCCCUAUGGUGAAGGACUACCCCCUUGAACCGUGAGCUAAAAUAAACCCUUCAUCCCCAAAGUUGCUUUUGUCAAUAAUUUAUCAUAACAGAAAAAGAACUUAAGACACUUGGAGUGGAGGUGUUUUUUUAAGAACAGGGUAGAGACAGUAAGUGAACAGGAUCUAGGAAAUCUACAGCAGUGAGAAACCAU
rnacentral:sRNA from 1 species